GGGCACCGGCAUAUCAGGUUCUGUGUUUACCUCUUCCUUCUUUCCUUCAGGACAAAGCCCCAGUCUGAGUAGAAAAUGAGUACUUUGUGUCACUGGCACGGGUCCCAGUACCCCUGUUUGAAAGGACAACGGAGUGAUUUAUGCCUUCUGCUUCAGCCACCAGGCCAAGCCCUGCUUGGCCUCCCUCCUCCACGGGGAGCCAGCGCUGCCUGAAUUCGCCCACUCAGAGACAUUUAAGCAAGUCGAGAUGGAGAAAAAGCACAUCUCCUGGGAAGUGGAAGCCAACAGCUGCGGAAUAUUUCAUUGGGAUCGGCUUCUUGUUUGUCAUCAGAAUGAAUAACUGUGCUUGCCUUUGGAACCCAACCACAAUAUUGGAGGAAUGAGGCUUCCCUCCAUCAGACAGCACCAAACAGACAGCCAUGUGAGCAAGUCAUCCUGGAGCGAAUCCUCCUGCCCCAGUUAAGCCAUUAGAUAAUUGCAGCUCCAGCCAACAAGUGAUUGCAGCCUAAUGAGAGACCUCCAAGGCAGAACCGCUCUCAAAUUCCUGGCUCACAAAAAUCAUGGGAGAUAAUAAAUGAUUUAUUGUUGUUUUAACCCA